GCCGCUCAACUGCGCCUGCGCGUACUGGAAGAUGAAGAAGGCGUACUUCUGAAUAUGCUUCAGCAGCGUGGUCUGG
rnacentral:tRNA from 1 species